rnacentral:rRNA from 1 species
UUCGCAAUGCCCGAAAGGGUGACGAAGCGACGCCGCGUGUGGGAAGAAGGCCUUCGGGUUGUAAACCACUGUCGGGAGUUAAGAAAUGCAAGAAUGUUAAUAGCGUUUUUGCUUGACUAAGGCUCCGGAGGAAGCCACGGCUAACUCUGUGCCAGCAGCCGCGGUAAUACAGAGGCGGCAAGCGUUGUUCGGGAUUAUUGGGCGUAAAGAGCACGUAGGCGGCUAUAUAAGUCGGUUGUGAAAGCCUUCCGCUCAACGGGAGAACAGCAUCCGAUACUGUGUGGCUUGAGUGUGGGAGGGGAGAGCGGAACUUCUGGUGGAGCGGUGAAAUGCGUAGAUAUCAGAAGGAACGCCGGCGGCGAAAGCGGCUCUCUGGCCCAUAACUGACGCUGAGUGUGCGAAAGCUAGGGGAGCAAACGGGAUUAGAUACCCCGGUAGUCCUAGCCGUAAACGAUGGGCACUAAGUAGAGGGGUUU